rnacentral:rRNA from 1 species
GCCGCGAGGUGGAGCGAAUCUCCAAAAAUUGUCCCAGUUCAGAUUGCAGGCUGCAACUCGCCUGCAUGAAGUCGGAAUUGCUAGUAAUCGUGGAUCAGCAUGCCACGGUGAAUACGUUCCCGGGCCUUGUACACACCGCCCGUCACACCAUGGGAGUCGGUAACACCCGAAGCCUGUAGUCUAACCGCAAGGAGGACGCAGUCGAAGGUGGGAUUGAUGACUGGGGUGAAGUCGUAACAAGGUACC